rnacentral:rRNA from 1 species
GACGAACGCUGGCGGCGUGCUUAACACAUGCAAGUCGAGGGCGGUAGCAAUACCGACCGGCGAACGGGUGCGUAACACGUGAGCGACCUACCGAGAUGUGGGGGAUAGCCGGCCCAACGGCCGGGUAAUACCGCAUACGUUCUUCCUGUGGCAUCGCGGGAAGAAGAAACCCUUCGGGGGCUUUUUGAGGGGCUCGCGGCCUAUCAGCUAGUUGGCGGGGUAACGGCCCACCAAGGCGACGACGGGUAGCNGGUCUGAGAGGAUGGCCAGCCACAUUGGGACUGAGAAACGGCCCAGACUCCUACGGGAGGCAGCAGUGGGGAAUAUUGCGCAAUGGCCGAGAGGCUGACGCAGCGACGCCGCGUGUGGGAGGAAGCCCUUCGGGUGUAA